rnacentral:lncRNA from 1 species
GAAAUGGGACAAUUCACCCAAAAGGCUGCUCCCAGACAUUACUUUGGAAACUGAAGAGUGGAGACAUGCUUCAUUUCAUGAAGGAUUACUUCUUUAAUCAUUAAGGAACCAUCUCCAAAGUUUCCCGUGGCUUCUAGCAGCAGCAUAUGAAGGCACACAAACUCCCAGAUUCUCUGAGAGCAGAGGCAGCUCAAAGCCUGAGGAAGAAUCAGGACCACCGUCUCACCCACCAGAAAAACUCAUCAUGUUAUAACUGGAGUACUGCUCAACAAAAAUUGUUUCUCUCAGUUUCAGGAAGGAAUUGAGUGUCCCAAUAACACAGCUGGGAAAGGCAAUUGGACAUU